CUUGUCUCAAAGAUUAAGCCAUGCAUGUGUUAGUAUAAACGCCUUUAUACUGUGAAACUGCGAACGGCUCAUUAUAUCAGUUAUAGUUUAUUUGAUACUUUUCGACUAUUGGAUAACCGUAGUAAUUCUAGAGCUAAUACAUGCGCCAAGUCCCGUCUUACGUCGGGAUGUAUUUAUUAGAUUUCAAUCAACACUUUUUGCUGACUCAUGAUAACUUAGCGGAUCGCAGAGGCCUCGCGCCGGCGACAAAUCAUUCAAGUUUCUGCCCUAUCAGCUUUCGAUGGUAGUGUAUUGGACUACCAUGGCAUUCACGGGUAACGGAGGAUUAGGGUUCGAUUCCGGAGAGGGAGCCUGAGAAAUGGCUACCACAUCCAAGGAAGGCAGCAGGCGCGUAAAUUACCCAAUCCUAAUUCAGGGAGGUAGUGACGAUAAAUAUCGAUGCGGGGCCUUUCAGGUCUUGCAAUCGGAAUGAGAACAAUUUAAAUCCCUUAACGAGGAUCAAUU
rnacentral:rRNA from 2 species